rnacentral:lncRNA from 1 species
UGGGCUAAUUCGUGAGAUGAAUCUAGUAAGUCUAAUUAAUCCAUCUUUAGCAAAUGGUUACUGUAGCAGUACAUUGUCAAAUCAUGGACUAAUUAGGCUUAAUGGAUUCUUUUCGUGAAUUAGCCUCCAUAUGUGCAAUUAGUUUUGUAAUUACUUUAUAUUUAAUACUUCUAAUUAGUAUCAAACAUUCGACGUAACAGGGGCUAAAGUUUAGCCCGUGGGAGCCAAACAGGCACUAACACCAAUUUUAUGUUUAUUCAACGAACAGAUGGGUGAAAU